GAAUCCGUACCUAUGUUGUCCGAAGAUAAGAGUCACUGGAAUGUGGAAAAAUUAAUGGAACCAGUAACACAGCCUGCUUGCCAAAUUCACUACACCCAUAAUUACCAUUGGGUCGUGUCGAUUUUGCAUGAUAAUCAAAUAUUUCUAUUGGACAGCUUAGGUAACGAUCGUUCUAGAGACAGAUUAAUACCACAUGGCCUUCAAAUACAACUUUCAGUAUUAUAUGGUAAAGACAAAGAAUACAUAGAUAUCACAAUUCCGACCGUGAUGAAACAAAACAAUAAUGUUGAUUGUGGAGUUAAUGCCAUUGCCUUUGCUACCCAGUAUUGCCUCAAUAAGCAAUUGGAAUUCGAAAUAAUUUUUGAUUCUUCUAAAAUGAGAUCGCACUUGAUGCACUGCUUCGAGCAAGAAGAGAUAUCUCUUUUU